GAUGAACGCUGGCGGCGUGCCUAAUACAUGCAAGUCGAGCGAACAGACGAGGAGCUUGCUCCUCUGACGUUAGCGGCGGACGGGUGAGUAACACGUGGAUAACCUACCUAUAAGACUGGGAUAACUUCGGGAAACCGGAGCUAAUACCGGAUAAUAUAUUGAACCGCAUGGUUCAAUAGUGAAAGACGGUUUUGCUGUCACUUAUAAAUGGAUCCGCGCCGCAUUAGCUAGUUGGUAAGGUAACGGCUUACCAAGGCGACGAUGCGUAGCCGACCUGAGAGGGUGAUCGGCCACACUGGAACUGAGACACGGUCCAGACUCCUACGGGAGGCAGCAGUAGGGAAUCUUCCGCAAUGGGCGAAAGCCUGACGGAGCAACGCCGCGUGAGUGAUGAAGGUCUUCGGAUCGUAAAACUCUGUUAUUAGGGAAGAACAAAUGUGUAAGUAACUAUGCACGUCUUGACGGUACCUAAUCAGAAAGCCACGGCUAACUACGUG
rnacentral:rRNA from 1 species